ACGAGAAAGCCCCGCAAGGGGUGAGUAAAGUGGCGUACGGGUGAGUAACACGUGGGUAAUCUACUCUUUGGUGGGGAAUAACCCUGGGAAACCGGGGCUAAUACCGCAUAAGCUCGCAAGAGGAAAGGUGAAAAUCGCCGAAGAAGGGGCCCGCGGCUGAUUAGCUAGUUGGUGAGGUAAAGGCUCACCAAGGCGAAGAUCGGUAGCCGGCCUGAGAGGGCACACGGCCACACUGGCACUGAAACACGGGCCAGACUCCUACGGGAGGCAGCAGUGGGGAAUCUUGCACAAUGGGGGAAACCCUGAUGCAGCGACGCCGCGUGAGCGAUGAAGCCCUUCGGGGUGUAAAGCUCUUUCGGCAGGAACGAUAAUGACGGUACCUGAAGAAGAAGCUGCGGCUAACUACGUGCCAGCAGCCGCGGUAAUACGUAGGCAGCGAGCGUUG
rnacentral:rRNA from 1 species